GGCCGCGUAGCUCAGUUGGCAGAGCAUUGGGCUAGUAUUCCAAAGGUCGUAGCUCGUGGCAG
rnacentral:tRNA from 1 species